rnacentral:rRNA from 1 species
ACGCUCGACACCUACUGGAGGCAGCAGUGGGGAAUAUUGCACAAUGGGGGAAACCCUGAUGCAGCGAUGCCGCGUGAAGGAAGAAGUAUCUCGGUAUGUAAACUUCUAUCAGCAGGGAAGAAAAUGACGGUACCUGACUAAGAAGCCCCGGCUAACUACGUCNCNCNGCGCCGGUAGUAUGNGNGGCGNGCGAGAG